ACCUCAUGCUCCUGGAGCGGCCGAUAUCUGAUUAGCUAGUUGGUGAGGUAAAGGCUCACCAAGGCGACGAUCAGUAGCUGGUCUGAGAGGACGACCAGCCACACUGGAACUGAGACACGGUCCAGACUCCUACGGGAGGCAGCAGUGGGGAAUUUUGGACAAUGGGCGCAAGCCUGAUCCAGCAAUGCCGCGUGAGUGAAGAAGGCCUUCGGGUUGUAAAGCUCUUUUGUCAGGGAAGAAACGGUGGGAGCUAAUAUCUCCUACUAAUGACGGUACCUGAAGAAUAAGCACCGGCUAACUACGUGCCAGCAGCCGCGGUAAUACGUAGGGUGCAAGCGUUAAUCGGAAUUACUGGGCGUAAAGCGUGCGCAGGCGGUUUUGUAAGUCUGUCGUGAAAGCCCCGGGCUCAACCUGGGAAUUGCGAUGGAGACUGCAAGGCUUGAAUCUGGCAGAGGGGGGUAGAAUUCCACGUGUAGCAGUGAAAUGCGUAGAGAUGUGGAGGAACACCGAUGGCGAAGGCAGCCCCCUGGGUCAAGAUUGACGCUCAUGCACGAAAGCGUGGGGAGCAAACAGGAUUAGAUACCCUGGUAGUCCACGCCCUAAACGAUGUCUACUAGUUGUCGGGUUUUAAUUAACUUGGUAACGCAGCUAACGCGUGAAGUAGACCGCCUGGGGAGUACGGUCGCAAGAUUAAAACUCAAAGGAAUUGACGGGGACCCGCACAAGCGGUGGAUGAUGUGGAUUAAUUCGAUGCAACGCGAAAAACCUUACCUACCCUUGACAUGUACGGAAGCCACGAGAGAUCGAGGUGUGCUCGAAAGAGAGCCGUAACACAGGUGCUGCAUGGCUGUCGUCAGCUCGUGUCGUGAGAUGUUGGGUUAAGUCCCGCAACGAGCGCAACCCUUGUCAUUAGUUGCUACAUUUAGUUGAGCACUCUAAUGAGACUGCCGGUGACAAACCGGAGGAAGGUGGGGAUGACGUCAAGUCCUCAUGGCCCUUAUGGGUAGGGCUUCACACGUCAUACAAUGGUACAUACAGAGGGCCGCCAACCCGCGAGGGGGAGCUAAUCCCAGAAAGUGUAUCGUAGUCCGGAUCGCAGUCUGCAACUCGACUGCGUGAAGUUGGAAUCGCUAGUAAUCGCGGAUCAGCAUGUCGCGGUGAAUACGUUCCCGGGUCUUGUACACACCGCCCGUCACACCAUGGGAGCGGGUUUUACCAGNAAGUAGGUAGCUUAACCGC
rnacentral:rRNA from 1 species